rnacentral:rRNA from 1 species
GACGAACGCUGGCGGCGUGCUUAACACAUGCAAGUCGAACGAAGCUUGAUUACGGAUUCUUCGGAUGAGGUAGGAUAUGACUGAGUGGCGGCCGGGGGAGUAACGCGUGAGUAACCGGCCCUUCAGAGGGGGAUAGCGUUUGGAAACGAACGGUAAUACCGCAUAAUGUAUUUUGACCGCAUGAUCGAAAUACCAAAGAUUUAUCGCUGAAGGAUGGACUCGCGUCUGAUUAGGUAGUUGGUGGGGUAACGGCCUACCAAGCCGACGAUCAGUAGCCGGACUGAGAGGUUGAUCGGCCACAUUGGGACUGAGACACGGCCCAGACUCCUACGGGAGGCAGCAGUGGGGAAUAUUGCACAAUGGGCGCAAGCCUGAUGCAGCAACGCCGCGUGAAGGAAGACGGUUUUCGGAUUGUAAACUUCUGUUCUUAGUGAAGAAUAAUGACGGUAGCUAAGGAGCAAGCCACGGCUAACUACGUG